CCUACGGGAGGCAGCAGUAGGGAAUAUUGGGCAAUGGACGGAAGUCUGACCCAGCCAUGCCGCGUGCAGGAAGAAGGUCCUCUGGAUUGUAAACUGCUUUAGACGGGGAAGAAUAAGGAUCAUGCGUGAUCUGAUGACGGUACCCGUAGAAUAAGCACCGGCUAACUACGUGCCAGCAGCCGCGGUAAUACGUAGGGUGCGAGCGUUGUCCGGAUUUAUUGGGUUUAAAGGGUGCGUAGGCGGGAGAGUAAGUUCGCUUUUAAAGCCGGCCGCUUAACGGUCAGGUAGGGGCGGAUACUGCUUUUCUUGAGAGGGCUCGGGGCUGGCGGAAUUUGUGGUGUAGCGGUGAAAUGCAUAGAUACCACAAGGAACACCGAUCGCGUAGGCAGCCAGCCAGGGCCUUUCUGACGCUGAGGCACGAAAGUGCGGGGAGCAAACAGGAUUAGGAUACCCUGGUAGUCCGGCACUAGUAACGAUGCAUACUCGGUGUCGGUCGUCGUUAGUAGCCGGUCGUCCGUCGAGGGAAACCGGAACGUAAGUAGUGCCGACCGUCGGGGUAGGUACGGCCGGCCGGAACCGGUACGGUAAACGUACGUAAAGUUAGUUAAGUUAGUUACGGUUCGUGAGACGUUGCCGACGGACGACGACGAGGGAGGAGG
rnacentral:rRNA from 1 species